rnacentral:tRNA from 1 species
GCAUUGAUGGUUCAGUGGGAGAAUUUCUGCCUUCCGUGCAGGAAACCCAAGUUUGAUUCCCAGCCGGUGCA